UACGUAGGGUGCGAGCGUUGUCCGGAAUUAUUGGGCGUAAAGAGCUUGUAGGCGGUUUGUCGCGUCUGCCGUGAAAAUCCGGGGCUCAACCCCGGACUUGCGGUGGGUACGGGCAGACUAGAGUGUGGUAGGGGAGACUGGAAUUCCUGGUGUAGCGGUGAAAUGCGCAGAUAUCAGGAGGAACACCAACGGCGAAGGCAGCACUCUGGGCCGGUACUGACGCUGAGGAGCGAAAGCGUGGGGAGCGAACAGG
rnacentral:rRNA from 1 species